GAUGAACGCUGGCGGCGUGCUUAAUACAUGCAAGUCGAGCGAACGGACGAGAAGCUUGCUUCUUUGAUGUUAGCGGCGGGCGGGUGAGAAACAUGUGUAUAACCUACCUAUAUGACUGGGAUAACCUCGGGAAACCGUAGCUUAUACCGGAUAAUAUUUUGAACCGCAUGGUUCAAAAGUGAAAGACGGUCUUUCUGUCACUUAUCGAUGGAUCCGCGCUGCAUUAGCUAGUUGGUAAGGUAACGGCUUACCAAGGCAACGAUGCAUAGCCGACCUGAGAGGGUGAUCGGCCACACGGGAACUGAGACACGGUCCAGACUCCUACGGGAGGCAGCAGUAGGGAAUCUUGCGCAAUGGGCGAAAGCCUGACGGAGCAACGCCGCGUGAGUGAUGAAGGUCUUCGGAUCGUAAAGCUCUGUUAUUAGGGAAGAACAGAUGUGUAAGUAACUGUGCACAUCUUGACGGUACCUGAUCAGAAAGCCACGGCUAACUACGUG
rnacentral:rRNA from 1 species